rnacentral:rRNA from 1 species
GCAAUGGACGAAAGUCUGACCGAGCAACGCCGCGUGAGUGAAGAAGGUUUUCGGAUCGUAAAGCUCUGUUGUAAGUCAAGAACAUGUGUGAGAGUGGAAAGUUCACACAGUGACGGUAGCUUACCAGAAAGGGACGGCUAACUACGUGCCAGCAGCCGCGGUAAUACGUAGGUCCCGAGCGUUGUCCGGAUUUAUUGGGCGUAAAGGGAGCGCAGGCGGUCAGGAAAGUCUGGAGUAAAAGGCUAUGGCUCAACCAUAGUGUGCUCUGGAAACUGUCUGACUUGAGUGCAGAAGGGGAGAGUGGAAUUCCAUGUGUAGCGGUGAAAUGCGUAGAUAUAUGGAGGAACACCAGUGGCGAAAGCGGCUCUCUGGUCUGUCACUGACGCUGAAGCUCGAAAGCGUGGGUAGCGAACAGGAUUAGAUACCCUGGUAGUUCACGCCGUAAACCAUGAGUGCUAGGUGUUAGGCCCUUUCCGGGGCUUAGUGCCGGAGCUAACGCAUAAGCACUCCGCCUGGGGAGUACGACCGCAAGGUUGAAACUCAAAGGAAUUGACGGGGGCCCGCACAAGCGG